AAAUCGGUUCUUCUCAGAACCACAACUUUGAAUAGUCACCUUUGACU
rfam:Agrilus planipennis Contig29608, whole genome shotgun sequence.